rnacentral:tRNA from 1 species
GGGCGUGUGGUCUAGUGGUAUGAUUCUCGCUUUGGGCGAAUUCCGAGUUACACUUGGAAUACAAAUCAUUCAAAUAUGCGAGAGGCCCUGGGUUCAAUUCCCAGCUCGCCCC